CCGCAGCUAAUUAAGCCCACCAGCUCCCUUGCUUCAUGGGCACCUGAUGUGCAACGGCUGCAAACAGCAGCCUCCUUUUUGCUUAUGCACCCUGUUGCUUGUAUGGGUUGCCCUGUGGGACCUUGGACAUAUCC